GAGAGAGACGGGCGGUUAAGGUGGAAGGCACCCACCGGACUCCAGAGAGAGAGAGAGAGAGAGAGAGAGAGAGAGAGAGAUGGAGAAGAAUCCACCGGAAUCCAAGCUCGCUGCCCCCGGCGUCAGGGAAUGGCCCAAAAAAGCAAUGCCCGGAAGACAUCAUGGAUUUUGAGUGGAGGGAAGACACUCGCAGGGCGAACGACUUCUUUCGUUGUCAUGACGCAGAAGAAUGUGGUCGAUGGUGCUGACUGGUUAUUUGGGUGAAAUUGGUCGGUGACACACUAACCCUGCAACACGAAUGGUCGCAUGAUUGUGCUAUGGGGAUCUCCUCCAAGCAAAUUCCCAUGGACGAGGGAGGGCAAGGUGAAGGUGUACCCCCGAGGGGCAUGGAGAUGAGUCUGUGGAGAUUGGGGCAGGUGACCCCUGGUGGAGUUUUCCAUGCCCUUGGGAUGUCUUAGAGAGAGAGGGCAAGAGUAACACUGAUGAAUCCUUGUUGUUGUUUCAUUUGAGCU